rnacentral:lncRNA from 1 species
GAGAGAGUGGUGAAAGUAAUGCGUCAACAGUUGAUGAGGGAAAAAGAAAAGUUAUGGAGAUACGGGAGAGUGGAGAAAUGAGAAACAAUAAAAACUACCGUACCAUGUUGUCCAAUUGGCUAUGUUCAAUCAGAAAAAUUUGAUAAAUAGUGCGGUUUUUUUUUCGCAAGUUGCUAAGUUCUCUUAAUCUAUCGUUAUCUAUCUAUAUUUAUCUCUACUAUAUAUAACAAAUUUCUAGAUGACCAAAAUAUCUUUCUCUCAUCUCCCCGAUAAAAAAAAUAAAAAAGAGUAAAGAGGGCAUCCGACAUUAUUUACAAUUCAAAUUUGAUUUUCAUAGGCAAUUACUUUACAAAUUUCCUUUUUAAAUUUUGAUGAACACAUAUCCUUAAUAUUUAAAUUCAUGUUCAUUUCCCCUACUUAAAUUUUCAAAAAUUGAAAUCUAGAUAGGUGGUUACUAAGGGCGUGCAUGGUUGUGUUUUUAUUUUUUGUUCAUGAACAGAUUUUAUGUUUUUUUGUUCUUGGGAACAAAAAAAGAAUAGAAAUGCGUUUGUUUGCGUUUUUGUUCCAAAUCUGUUUUUUUGUUCCCAGGAACAAAUGUGGAACAGAAACAAGAAACAAAAAAAACUUGUUUCUUGUUUCUAGAACAAUUUGGAGAAGCACUUCUUUCUUUUCUUUUUCUUUUCUUCUUCUUUUUUCUUUGGCCAGUCGCCAGCCUCGGGUAUGACCGGCGACUGGCCGUCGAGGGUCGGCAAUCUCGCCGGAGCGUUGCCGGCGCAGGGCAAGGCUCGGCAAGCUCGGGCUCGCCAAGAUCCGGCGAGGCCAAGCUCGUCCAGCCAAGGCAAGGCCGCCGGCCCUCGUCGGCCAAUCACCGGCCAUGGCUGAAGCCGGCGACCGGCCAAAAGAAGAAAAAAAAAUUAAAAAUAAAAUAAAAAUAAAAUAAAAAUAUUAAAAAAUUAAAAGAAACAAAAAAAGAACACAAAUUUACCAAACGUAUUUCUGUUCUUUUUUUAUUCCUGGAACAAGUUUACCAAACACGUUUUUCUAAUAAAAAAUUGUUCCCUAGAACAGACCCGGAACAAUUUUUGAACAAAAAUACAAACAAAUGCACCCUAAGCCAAUUAUGCACAUCUUUUCGCACGAAUUGUAGUAGAUUCUUCUUUUAAUCCACAGUAGCUAAAAAUGCGAUGUGAGGCUUAGUAAAUUGUUUAUAAAUUCUAAUACUAUGGGCCUAUUUGUUUAUUUUUGUUUUUGUUCCCCAAAACAAAAAUUUCUAUUCCCCGGAACAAAAAAAGAAUAGAAACGCGUUUAUUUAUACUUUUGUUCCCGAUAACAAAUUUGGAAUAAAAACAAGCAGGAACACUCUUUGGAGAAAUAAAAGAACAAAAACACAAACUUGUUUGUUUUUUUCCUCCUUUUUCUUCUUCUUUUUUCUAUGGCUGGUCGCCAACCUCGACCAUGGCCGGCGACCGGCCGUUGAGGGCAGAGCAUCGUUGGCCAACACGAGGCCGAGCUCAUCGGAGGCUCGCCUGGCCAACAGCGAUCUCGCCAGGCCACCGGUGAGGCUUGGCCUCGAUAGAUCUAGGCGAAGUCGAGCCUCAUUGGUGGCCUGGCGAGGCUCACCGGGGCUCACCUUGGCCUCCCAGCCGGUCGCCGGCCAAAGAGAAAAAGAAAAAAGGAAAAAUAUAAUAAAAAUAUUUAAAAAUUAAAAGAAACAAAAAAAUUAUACAAGUUUACCAAACAUGUUUUUGUUCUUUUUCUAUAUCAGGAACAUAAAUUUUAUACGAUUAUCAAACAUGUUCUUCUGUUCAAAAAUUGUUCCCCACAAUAGAAAUAGUUUUUUCUAUUUUUGUUCUCAUAAAUAAUUUUUGAACAGAAACAUUACUAAACGCACCUUAUGUGAGAUUUUGUGAGACCAUUAUUAAUUUCUAAAAGCUUAAGCUAUUGAAAGAAGAUAUGGUUUAAUAUUUAAGUAUUUCAACACUCCCCCUCACGCUUAAUAUGGUCUUUUUGCCUAGUACUAAGCAUGAACAUAUUUAAUUGAGGAAACAAAUGGGACCUGGAAAAAUUUGAAUUCGGGACAUCUAGCUCUAGUACCAUGAAAUAAAUUGUAAUUCACUUGUAUUGCAUACAUAUAUUUGUGCAACAUAUUGCUUAACAGAAAAGAGAGGAAAAGAUCUACGCAAUACCCCAAGCUAAUUCUAUGAGAUACACCAUAUAUUAUGCUAACUAAAAGUGAAAACUAAAUCCUAAUCGAUAAUAAGAGAUACGCAAAAAAUUAGAAAAGAAAAACAGAAUGUUCCGUAAUAUAAUCCAAUGACAUGGUACCUGAAGCUUAUAAUCUUGAAGAGGGAAAAAAUUCAGAAAUCAGGUUGGAACCAUUGGCGUUCAUGACGGCACCAUUGGCCUACACGACCGUGAUCAGUUGCAUCGGAGAAUGUCUCGACGCUUCCGUAAUCCAUGCUGUAAAUCUUCUCCUUCUUCUCUUCUACGUAAUAGACGUGGUUUGGCUUGAUUCCGGGAAGGCAAGACCCAGCGUUAAACUCCAUGGAGAAGGAAGAGUUGUCAUUCAAGAAGAGAGACGCGUUCCCCAAGCUCUUGACCUCUUCCUGAGUUCCCUUCUCCAAAUCCACUUCGAAAACUCGGAAUCUAUUCCCCUUGCCACCCCUUGUCUUCCAAGCCACCAGCAAUGAACCCGAACAUUCGACGAGAUACGGCGCCCAACCUUUGAAAUUCUGCCCUAGGACUAGUCGCGAUUCCAUGCGCCUCUCUCUCUCGUUGAGAGUCGUUAUGUGAUUUUCCGCAUCCAAGGCCACGAAUAGCCCAUCGUAAUAAAUCAGUUGGAGGACUUUAGGCCAAGGAGGACCCGUCUCCGCCGGGCGACUCACUACCGUCCACUCAUCUUCUCCUGAUCUGUGGAAGGCAAGGCGUCCUCGUCCAAGAUCCCAAUUCACAGCGAUCAUGACAGCGUAGCUCCUGGACAAAGAAGGGCUCGAGGACAACGCGAUCCUGUCGAUUCUCAGGCAGACGCAAAUGCGCUGCAUCAGCCUGUCGAAUUCCACGUGGAGACGUGACGUGCGGAGAAGCUUCUCCAAGGCAGGGAGUUCGAUGCUGACGCUCGAAACCGGAUUGAAGAUACGGUAUUUAUGGUCCCAGUUUGACAGGAGCAUCCAUCCCCGUGGAGACAAGGUCUGGGCUCGAGUUCCCGGCGACUUCACUGGGUAAAUUCUCCCUCUAGAGGGGCUGCAUAAUUCAGGCAUUUGUUUGUACGUACUAGUCACGAGCCACGGGGCUUUCGACUUCGCGUCGUACAUCUCCUUGGUGGCGACGGACCUCCAUGAGGUGCACACCGCUCCAAAGGCUAGAAAGUCUUCUAUGGCUAGCCGUUGAGCGAUGAGUUCUAGGAGCUCUCGUGAGAGUUUUUCCCAAUCCGCCAUUACUGCAACUUCUUUGAUGAACUUAAUCCUCAAAUAAGGUCCUUUCUUAUGCGAGGAAAGACAAAUUUUUAGAAUUCGGUUUACCUUUUUGGCUUAGGAUUACCCCAAUCUAGAUUACUUUUUUCAACAGGUCCUUUCGCAAAAAUCUUAAAAGUUAGUUUCCUUUUCGAGCUUUCCUGGAUAAAAUCUGUAAAAGGAUCCAUACAUAUCAUUUAAUCAAGUGAUAGCCACGCCAUGGUGACUGAUGCGUGAAAUUGUAAUUUAAAGGUAAAUUGACCUUUAACACUUAAAUAAUAAUUUUUUAGGUAUUUUACACUUUUUAAUUUAAAUUUAGAUUUUGUCAUGUGUUUUGAUGAGUUGAAUCCUACAAUUUGUUAGUGAGAGUAUGGGUUUAUUUUCCUAAAUAUACAACACUUCAUAUUUAUAUUUCUUAUUUUUCUUUCGACAUGCAAAAUGUAUCCUCUUUUCCUAGGCAAUGUUUCAAUAAACAAAAGCAACACUUCAAAUUACGUAAUUCUUUAUCAAAACAAGAUGAAGAUAGCAAGAAAAAGAAGUAGCGGGGGACGAUGUUUAUACACCAAUAACAUUGUCUUUUUCAGGGAAUAAUGAUAGUAAUAAUCUUCAAAUUCUAUUCUUGUGUACAAUAUCAUCAUUUAAUAAUGUGUUUAACGUUAUCUAUAACAAAUAAUCAAUUAAUAACUUCAAAUCAAUAACACAUCUUUUCACUAUACAUACUUACGUCCCAAAAAAAAAAAAACAAUCGGUGGCUCAGAUAGAGAGGGCGGUGAAAGUAAUCCAUGAAAGUUGACACGGGAAAAAGUGAAGUUCUGGGGAUGCGGGAGAGUGGAGAAACCGAGAAAAAAAUAAAAUCUACAACAAUGACCUUCAAUUAAUUAUAUUUAUCUUUUUUUUCUACAAAGAGCCUAACACGGAAUGUUAUUUUCUUUUUUUAAGAGAACUUGCCACCUAUUGUUUAAAAUAAAAAUAGAGGAAAAAUAUAACGAUUUCAUUAAUAAAUAAAUUGAAUAGUCAUGUCUCAUUUUAAAUGCGCUUUGUAUUUAUGUCAUCUUACAACCUUUUUUUUACUUGAUUACCACAGGUACCCAUAAUAUUGAUACGUGAAUUAUAAUCAAUUCAAUAAAUAUGUCACCAUUAUAGAUUUAGCGUUAUGUACCUCAAAGCCACGUUUAUUCCAAUGUAGCUCAUUUUUAGUUAGGUUAGUUAUUAUCUUAAUAUGCUUGAUGUAAAUAUUGAAAGAAAUUGUUGACAUUGAUUUAAUUUUAAAUCUUUUAAAUUAGAAAUUAUUAUAUAUCUUGAAGAUGACAAGUUUUUGGUAUUAACAAGCAAUGUUUAGUUUUGCAAAAUUUAUUCAAAGUUAAUCUAUCACUUUUCAAUCUACCUAAUAAAAGUUAGCACUGGAUCUGCCUAAUGUGCCUGUCAGAAAUACUCCUACGAUCAUUAUAUUAAAGUUUAAAGGGAACAAAUUAUUUACUUUUGUUAAAAAAAUAAUGUUUAAUAUAACUGCCUAAAUAGAAAAAGAUCAUUGCCAAAACAGUGGUUACUUCUGCACAAUCUCGAGUUUAGGAGGUAGUAAUUGUUAAUAUAGACCGAUGCGUAUUGUAAAGAUAAUUAGGCUUUCAAGGCAAAUCUUGGUUGGAUUUCCAUUUAUCAAGAUCAGUGUUCUCUUACUUAAUUCAAAUUGACGGUGAGAAGUGGUCUUAAAAUACAAAAGUUGCUGAUUUUCUUUUCUCUCUUGGGCACAGAGGAUUUGUUUUUUCUGUUGGAGAUGAUAAACAUCCACGUUUUGACUAACGCUUGAGCGUGUGUGCGAUUUCAUAAACCCAUAGAAAAAUUGAAUGCAAAUGAUUGAGAUAUUGAGUUAUCCAAACCAAACAUAAUCUUUAUAUUUUUGUUUUAAACCCAGGCACAUGCAAAAGUUGGUUUGUCAGUCAUCUUUAUUGUAGCAUUCUAGGUCAUCGCUUGAGGUAUUACUAUAAUGGAGACAGAGGUCGUUGCUACAUUAAGUACUCGCAAUAUUGAUGAGACUUUCAUUUCUGUUUAUAUGCUUGAGUCGUCUUUCACUCUUUCUUGUAACAUGAUAAAUUAUAACAUGUUUGAUAUGACAUCUUGAAAUUUAUUAAUAAAAGUGGCAUGAUAUCUUGUGAUAAUCUUGACAAAAAAUGAUGAUGGAUAUGAGUUACUCAGAAAGAAUUCUUAAUGCUUAGAUCAUUUAUAUGAAAUUUUUCAAUCUUACAACUCUCCUGGAAGUAUUUGGAAUGCCUUGAAGAUCAAAUACAACACUAACAAACAAGGUGCCGAUAGAUUUACUGUUUUGAAAUAUUUUGAAUUUACCAUGAUUAAUGGAAAAUCUGUUUCUAAAUUAAUGACUAUGUAGAAAGAACCACUCAUUUUAAUAAUUAUCUGUUUCUUAUAUAGUUACAAGCUUUGCUCACGCUAAGAGAUCUAACAGUCAAGAUUGAAUAUCGGUGAUCUAAUGAUUUUUAAAAUUUAAAGGGUUUAACGCCUCAGCCACUUAGCAUGCGUUUGGGAGAAUUUUGGCAUAAUUAAUUUGUAUCUAGAUAAAGUACUUUGCCUCUAAAGAUUUCCCUUUAAUGCAAAUAUUAUUUGGUAAUCAAUGUGAAACACACUUCAGAAAGCAACUGGUAAAAUUGAAAUACACUUUAGCCGAACUUCUUUCUAUGAAGUAGCAGCUCAGAGCGUACUACUGUCGGGACCUUCUUAUAGGAGUUUCGUCAAAGAGAACUUCUUAUAAGAGUAACGUCAAAAGAGAAUUUUAUGAUAGACCAAGAGCACCAUUACAAGGUCGUGAAAUCUAGGCGGAUGGACACAAACAAAUCCGGCGCAAGGCAAAGUGUCAAAGAGAAUGUUAUGAUAGAUCGAGAGCACCAUUUCUUAUCAUGCUUGGAUCACCGUGUCUCGGGCAUUUGUAGCUCGUACCACGUUCAUCGAUAUGAGCGUUCAAGUUCACGCGGGACUUCAGCUGACAGAUCAAGAAAUAUCGAGUUAGCCAAUAGUCUAAACGAUUUCUUAAGCUCUGUGAGGUAUCUCAUGGUCCUGGAUGAUGUGUGGAUGACUGAAGAUUGGGACAUUUUACGAAGGCUUUGCCAAAGACCGGUAUCGGAAGGCAGGACAUCAAGGACAAACCAAAUCAUAGAGACCCUCCACGUCUGCAAGUUGGUGAUCUGCGUAUGCACAGACCAAACGAUAUGCUGAGAAGAUUACCUAUGAGCACCGAGACGAAUCAUCUUUAAAGAAACUACUUGAUGUUGUUUUAAGGACAUCAAGAAUGAGUGACACUUGCUACCAGGUUGAGUUGGCUUGACGAUUCUAUAUUUCAUAGUUUUCAGUGGCCAAAAAUUGAAUGCUGCAUACCUGUGGAGAAAAAAAGAACAAGGGAAAAACAAUUGAUCUUAGGCUAGGGAGUGUGACCGAUGCAUAACGAGAGCAAGGGAAAUGGAGGCCCGUCCCAAAAGAACUAAACCAUAAGAGAAUCAAUUAAAACUGAUCAUAUUCGACCAUCGAAACCCAUGAAAUGGAGGACUGUGCCACCAUGCCGACUCCCCUUCGUUCGCAAGGUGUGAGAUUGAUCGCCUGGAUAGACAACAACACAGAGAGUCUAUAUUCUUUGAUUUCGUUUCCCAUAAGAUCAAUAUCACAACCAAUCCAAUGAGGUCUACAAGUUUAAGUAAUAUCCAAUCUGAUAAUUUACUAAAUAGUUAGAUAAUUAUCUAACAACAACAUUUUGAGGAAAGAUAUUAAUAGAUAUGUGUAGUUGCCAUGUAUUGCGCAAACAAUAAAAUGUGAUCGGGAAAUGCACCUAAGAUCAAAUAUUACGAAUGAGAAAUACAGACUUUCCUUUUGAUGCAGCGAUCACAUAAAAACAUAAGCUUUGAGAUUCAAUAGCUAAAUACAUGGCAAUUAGAUCAUGAGCCACGAUCAUAAAGAGCAUACCGCUAGAGUAGAAAGUCAAAUUAAUAUAAUGAAUUCAGAAGCUUCAAAACUCUUUUGUGCGGAAGAAUCAAAACACAUCAGAAUGAUAUCAGCCAUACUUAACAAUAGAAGUAUUACGCAAAAAUAUGUGAAAUUGUUCCUCCUAAAAAGAUUAUUCCAAAAUAAAUGGCAACAGUUAGGAGAGCUCGACCAACAGAAGCAAGUUAUCAGAUAUCUGAGGAGAGUCCGGCCAAAACCACACAUGCAAGUUUCCCUGUGGAUGGCUCAUAUGUGAUAACUUCUUUGAAUUUGCAUGAUCUAGCAGACCGAACUUUAAGUGGGGAUGCUCCCUCUAGCGUGAGCAGAUUUUUCUUUGGAACUAGCUAGGGAUGGGCGCCACUAUUCCAGCCCAAAUCUAGUUGUCUUAAAUCUUAAAUAAGACUCGGGGAUCUUCCUCAGCCCAUGUCACCCUUCGCUCAUUCAUUCGGUGCCCUUCCUGUUGGGGCAUCCCCUUACAUUAUCACUCUGGCUAUUCUCAUGAAUAUCCUCAACUUCGGUUGCCACUUGCUAGUGCUAUAGAGCAAAGAAAAAGCCCAUCUAAACUUUUGCUUAUUGGCGAUCACAAUGCACAAAGUCACAUCACAUGUAUUUGGACUUGUGAGACGGGUGGAUAGGGUCAAAAAUGGUUCAACCCAAAUUCACUCAUUAAACUCGCUAUAACCCAUUAAAAACCCAUUUAAGAGCCAAUAAGCUCUUAAAUAAACUCAUUUAAACUUGUCUUUAAAAUCUAAGGCGACUCAUUUAUGACCCACACCAUUAAACAGGACUUAAAUCACAUGUACAUGUAUAUAAAAAGCAUAUAAACUCCACUAUGGAAUAUUUAAAAGUGAGACGAAAUCUAAUUCCAAUAUUACGUGAGACUUCAUAGAAUCAAGCUAUCUUCAGAGAUAGAUCUUUUGUAACUCACGAAAUUGAUAUCAUUUUUUUUUCUGCGACAAUUCCUCCUUCUUUUCUCACGUGCCAAUUUGGUCAGUUUUUACUGAGAACUGAGAACUGAGAACUGGGCCUUUUUUUUUUCCUGUUUUUUUACCAAAAUAGAACCCGGGGUAAACGGGAGGCGCGCAUCUUCUUUUACCGAGCCGGCACUCUCGCGCAAGGACUCGCUCUCUCGCAGAUUCGCGCCCGCAAUGAAAGAAAAGGUAGGGCGGUGACAAGGACAAAACAUGGGGGACGUUUGAUUAAAGCAAAGACCCGAAGAUUUGAUUAAAGCAAAAGACCAGAGAAGAGACGACGCAAUGAGAAAGGAGAACCUUCUUCGCUGCCACUUGUACCGUUCCACCCUUUGCCCCCUCCCCCGUCUUCCUCCUCCGGGCCGGCACCACAUCGCCGCGAGCUCAUGGCGGCCGGCUCCGGCGCCGAUCGCCUGAUCCGUAAGAUCCACGGCUGCUUCCGCCCCCCUCCUCCUCCGCCAGGUCGGUGCUCCCUCUUCUGUCUCUCUCUCUCUCUCUCUCUGAGUGGUGUGUUCCGCGAUCCGGAACUGAAGAGCUCGCCGCGCUUGAUUCUGUCGCGUGACGUUUUCUGAUUCGGGAGCAGUCCGUCGUGGUUCUCGCGUUGGAGAGUUGUUCAAGUGACGAGCAAUUCGAGCGGAGGUGAGACUGCUCGUGGCCUCUGCUUUCCGGAAUUUGUGCGUUCGGAGCGUGUCGCGUGCCUGAUCCUCUUGGAUAAUUCGCGUGAUUAGUUAGUACCGAGCGUCAAAUCGCCAAUCUCUGAUGGGAGAUGAAAACUAUUAGUGCGGGAAUUCGUGAGAGUUCGAAGAGCAGUGAAGGUUUGUGAUGUGGAGUUCGAUGUGGAUCUGGAUGUCCGGACGUCGUGACGAUACGAGCUGUUUGUUAGUUCUCUUCGUGUUAAUUACGAUGGUUGUCCUUCGUGUCGCUUUCGAGUACUUGAAUUUGAUCGCUUCCAUAAAGGUCGAAUUAUGUGCCAGUUCUUUUCCUUGUGACUAUGUUCGAGUGAAAAUAGGAAACGCUUUACCUACGAAACUUUUUCGACCUGUGUUGUGUGGCGAUGGUUUCAUUGAAAUGAUCACUGGUUCAGGCUUCUUCACCUGCAGUUUGCCUGAAGAAGUCCUUCUUACUAUCUCCGUGCACGCUGCCGUUGCCAUCUUGUACUUACAGGUCCAGUUUCUUUUGUGAGGCACUACUCAUACAAGGACAUAAAGAAGGCAACGGGCAGUUUUUGCAGGAUCAUCUAUAGCGAUGCUCAUGGGGCGGCUUACAGAGCCAACUUCGAUGAUGCUGGGCUUGCUUUGGUUAAGGAGGUUAAGGAAUUUGAUCAGAGUAAUGAGGUCUUCUACAGAGAAGUGCAGCUCUUAGGCCGUUUGCAUCACCGCCACCUCCUUGCACUUAGAGGGUUCUGUAUGGGGCAAAAGAGGUAUGACCCUCAUCAUUCAGGCGAAUUUUGAAAACCUUUGCAAUGUAUUUCAUUACAAGAUUUUGUCUUUGAAUGUGGGCAACUGCUUUUUUUAAAUUUCUCUCCUGUUGGUCAUCUUGCUUGUUCAUCCAAUGUACCUUAAUUGAGCAAGUAUCCCUUCUCCUGUGAUUUGGAGGAAAACAAUAACUAUUCUACAUAGUGGUUUAUCUUCUACUUAAUGAGAAAUUGAACCCUCUCUGUUUAGCUGGAAUUCUCACGAUUGGAUGACAAAUGGUUCUACACCUUGCAGUUUGUUAGUGUUUGACAAUGUCGAGAAUGGAAGCUUGAAGGAUCAUCUCAAUGGUAAUUGUCAGUUAAAACAUUUUCUAUGUAUUGGCUUGAUAAAAUUUGGUCUAAAGAGGGGUGCUCUUAGCAGAUCCUCUUAGGACUCCUUUGAAUUGGAGAACGAGAUUACAGAUAGCCAAUGGUGUAGCUGCUGCAUUGGUAAGUCAAGGAACUAUUGUAACUUUUAACUUUAAUUUUCAUUUCUUAUGUGGGAACAGAGACAAAUCAAAUUGGGAGGCUUUCCUAAAAUAUGAAACUGCUCAAUUAGUGUACCCUGCAAUCUGGAACGGUCUAUGGUAGACAUGAUCAAAAACCUUACAUGAAUCUCGCUGGAGAGCUAGUUACUAGAUGACCCGAGACAUCGACCAUAUGUUUAGAACUUGUCCUUGGUAAAAGUAUCGUAAUCCUGGAUGAUCGCGAAAACAUGAAUGGACAUAUUGACAUUAUCAAGCUUUUGGUCUGCAUGUUUUUAUCUGUUGAAUCAAAUGACUUACAAGUCUUAGCACUACAAGAUGUAUUAGGCCAAUCCCUGUCAUGCUGAAUUUGCUGGGAGGAAACUAGCUCCAUCUUAUGCGUACACAAGAUAGUAGUUUGUUUUUUCACGGAAAGUCUGAUUUCAAGUUGACAGAGGCUCAAUCUGUCUGCAGGAAUAUUUGCUCCUAUUUAAUGAUCCCCCAGUAUAUCAUGUAUCUGUCAACUCAAGCAAUGUCAUGUUGGAUGAGAACUUCAUUGCCAAGGUAGGGAAUUUGUUUCAUUUCUUUCAUAUCCAGCAUCUUCUUUGCCUUUUCUGAAUCAGACUAGAGUUAAUCUCAAUUCACAAGUUUUUGGAAUUCAAUCAAAUUGAUACACUGUUGCCAUGUAGUCAAAAGCAAAAAUGACAUUUUCCUUGAUUAUCUCAGCUAUCAGACGUUGGUUUUCUUGGUUAUUCUGGGAAUCACACAGGAACUACUCAUCCAAAAGGUGAUCUGUCGUCACCACACAUGUUGUCUUUGCAAUGAUAUGAAUGUGCAUCCUAUUCCCUUCGAUUAAUAUUUUUCAAAAAUCCCUCAUUCUCGUUGCAGAUUGUAUUGAGGCAGAAUCCAGAAACAUCAUUUUCCAGCUUGGCAUGCUGAUGCUGGAGCUCAUCACUGGGCAAUCAUCAGAAGGGGGAGGCGCCAAUCUGAUCCAGUGGGUUCAAGAAUAUCAUUUGGGUAGCUCCAUUUAUAAGCUGAUAGACCCAGAUCUUGGAAAUGACUAUGAUUCGAGGGAGCUAAGAAAUCUCCUGGAGGUAGCGAGACUAUGUAUCAAAUCGAGGGACAAACCGGUGCUGUCGGCUGCUAGACUGUUUCGGUAUCUCCAGAAGAAGAUAGAUAAUCCAGUCAGUUAGUCCUUGAAGCCAUUCGUUUAUACUAUUUUAUUGGCUGUGUAAAUUCAUGCCUAUAAUCUCUAUAGCUGUAUCUUCCCUUCUUUCGUUUUUCCCCUUUAAUUUCUUUUCAUUUGAGAAUCAGAUGAUGAUAAAACACAUGCGAGGGCAUAGUGCUGGGUAUCUUAUGUCACGCAGGUUAUAGCAGAUAAUGAAAUGCUCUAGCACUUGAAUAAGUGCCUUUGAAACGCCAAAACCCAAGGUGUCCCUCUGAAGCAUCUACCCUGCUCUUCACUAUCAAAUGCGACUUGCAAUUCACCGGUUCUAUAAUGUGAAAACACAAUGGAAUCGUUCACUUUUACGGCACCGAAAGAAGGAUUUUUUAUGACUAUUUCUUUUUGUAGCUCAAUCGAUUCUGUAGAUCCUAUACCCAGUUAAAUUUAUCCAUUAAGAAACGUACGUUUUUUUUAUAUAUUUUAUUAUCUUUUUGGGGAUGACGGAUGAAAUUGCUUAUUUAGACAAAGGAGAGCAUCCGAUGCUUAGGAAGGAAUCUUAAUCAUACAACAUGCAAUUGACUAGUUUUGUUGUUUUGUUGCAUGUCCACCCGACAGCAAGUCGACGUCGCCGACGCUACUUACCCAUUUCUCAUCAGCGGUUUCUUUUGUCCUUUGUCCUCGCUCGUUCUUUAAUUCCAUCACCUCCACCUUCUCACAUAAUCCCCAGAGAGAGACACGCACACCGAUAUCGCCUUGAAAAUUGAAUUUUACUUUUCCUUGGUUCGAUAAACCUUUCCCCAGAGAGUGAGAGAAAGAGAGAGAGAGAUUCCUUCGCCUCGUAAUCGAUUGGGCAGAUGGAGGACGAAGAAGGGUAUCGGCGAUGCGCUCUUGUGCUCGUUGCUGGCAAUCGUCGGCUUUGAUUCUGGAGAAUUGAGCUCUGUGAGCUCUCUGUGCUUGAUGAUGUCUUUAUUUUCUUUCAGCACUCGUUCUCCGUGUGGCAUUUGUGUUGAGUUGUUAGGAUUCAGCUUGCUUCAUUUACAUUCUUUCCUUUUGUGGGAUAUAUAAACCUAGCAGGGAGAGCGAGCGGGAGUAUGUUGUUUCGGUUGCGGCUGAUGAAUGCUGGCUUUUUUUUUAUUUUUUUUGGGUCUACUUGCAUGUGGUGGGCUAGCUGCUUCUUGAUGGCUUUGUAUUAACCUCGUUUUGAUCAUGGAGUGGAAAUUUCUCCUCGUGCCGAUCCAGUCCUUGUGGUCUUAUGUAUAUGUGUGAGGACUGUGAGGACGGUGGUUGUGCAGCAGCCUGUGCAGCAUUGCAUUUGCUGCAUUGCAGUUCAUGAUCGAUUUGUCGAUCCCUAUUGUUUGUGCAUUGUAAUUGAUUGUUUUGAUGGCUCUGACAGUUCUGCGGUGAGUGUUGAUAUCAUAGCGCAUGCUGUUCGUGUCCUCCUCUGCAGCUAUUUUCUUAGCAUUACUUGGAUCGAGCAAUUGGACGUGUGCUCUGUAGUUUAUGCAGAUGCAGCCUAUCGGCUAUUUUCAUUGGAUGAGGACCAGUUUAUUUUUUUGCUUGUGGUAGAGCUAGAUGAGAUUGGACACUGUUGAGAUGACAUUCGAUCUGCAAAGCCAUCCUGAUUUUUCUAUGCUUCUGCUUCAGGUCAGGAGUAGAUGUUCCGACAAUGAGAGGCUGUUGAUUGCAAUACUGAAGUUGCUGUAAUUUAACUUCCAGGAAAGGACGGUUGAUUUGCCUUAAGAGGUAAUGCCAGCUUGGACUUGUAAAACAAUUUACCAACUUGUAAAAGUCGGCUCAUGAUCGCUGUGAAAUGUUCAUGGCCUGAAAUUGGUAGCAAUUUGUGUGUAGUUCAAGAAAUAACAACUUUCUUUUGGAUUUUUUUUUUUUAAUUCCUUCCGCCCUUUCUUUCUACUAUGAGGUGCAAAAACGUGGUAGCAAUGGUCACAACCAUCUUUUACUGGCAGGUUCUAUUGAUUGACACGAUCCAACAGGCAGAAUGGGCGUCUCUGGGAAAUGGAUCAAAGCCUUAGUUGGUUUGAAAAAAUCACAAAAAUCACCUUCAAAUAAGGAUGAAGAGGUGGGUAUAAGGCUGGGUUCGUGCUACCCUACUGUUGAAGUUUGUAUGUGCAUCAUUGCGAGCAUGGUGGGCUAGGGGCUCCUGACUAAGCCAAUUUGAUGCGAAACAGUCUCAUUAUGGGGGAAUGAGCGAAGUAUGGGUAGUACCUUGUAACGCCCUUCAACAGAGCCACAAAAUGAAAUGUAGAGCUUUUCCUGGAGGGACUCCUCUUUCACUGAAUUUUAUGUAGGAUGAGUGGUGCCCUGCGAAGUCAAUAAGUUAUCCACCUUUGUCAAAGUGGAAAGGUCUGAAUACUGAGAAGAUACUGUUCAAGUUGGCAAAAUAUGAAGUAAACCUCUGGACGAGUAUUGCCUAAAGACAGACUAUGACUGCAUGAUAUUCACAUGCUAAACAAUAAUCUCUUCUUUUCUUUGAAGUCAUGUUGUCCUAGCUCAAAUAUCACUCCUUUUAUGAUCUUUGUAGGGUUUUUGAAAUUCAGCCUCUUAAUAACUACAGCAUGAUUUUGUACCCUUUACAGAAGGUGAAUGGUAGCCAAUCACAUUCCAAGUCUCUGUGCUCUGCUAACUGUUCAGUUGGUACGGAGACCGAAAACAUCCAUGACCAGCUUAAUUGCAAUUAUGCUUCUCAUGUUGGGGAUGCAAAUGAACAUUUCAUCCCUGAUCCUGCUUGUAGUCUUUCCACCUGCUUUGAUGUACAGAAAACUGAUCAUCACCAGCAAAUUUUAAGAGAAGAGUUGGCUGCAACGCGCAUCCAAACAGCUUUCCGGGGUUUCCUGGUAUUGAUUUUUGCAGCCAAUUCGAUCUACAUAUGAUCUUCAGUCUUUAUUGACCUGAUGAGAGUCUCUUGAAUAGAAGAUUUUAGUAAUUCCCAAGAUGUUUGACGGCAUGCUCGGUCAGGUCAAAAGAAGUCACUUUAGGAAGUUAGUGAAGCUCCUUUGUUCUGCUCACUUAUUUUAUCAAUUUCAUUUUCCCACUUGUCAUAUAUUUAAUUGACAGCCAAGGAAUAGUAUGGAAAUGUCAAGGCAUUUCAAGUGAAUGAAAGUUCAUGUGGAAUGAUCAUGGCAAACAGUGAAUUGUGCUGGAUAAGUAUUUCAUGGGUUCAACAUAUUAAUGAAAUGGUCAUCAUGACAUGACAAUUUCUUCACCAGUAACUGUAUUCAGUAUCUGAUUUAAAAUUCUUGAGGGCAUUUCUCUUACAAUCUUUUGAAACAGCAUAAAAUGGUAUCAUGAUAUCUGACAGAGCAUAUGAAGGUACCUCUACUUACAAAUAUCUCUUUUUCCAUAAGGUUUUUCUUUAUGAUCACCAGCUGCUACUGCAGAGUAUCCUAGUCAGUCACAUCAUUCUCUUUCCACGAAACUUAACGACAAGCCAAUUUAAUCGAUCAGGAUGUCAAUGGGAACUUGUAAAAAUGGCUGUCAAAUAGAUGUUUUACCAAGAGCUUUUAAUGAACUGAAAGUAUUGGCAGAGCUAUGGUUGUAUCUCACUCAACUUAGUCUCAUUGGUCAGUUUCAUGGCUUCUGCACCAGGCAAGAAGAGCUUUAAGUGCUUUGAAAGGGUUGGUGAGGCUUCAGGCCCUUAUCAGAGGUCAUUCUGUGAGAAAGCAAGCUGCAAUGACACUGCGUUGCAUGCAAGCUUUAGUAAGAGUUCAAGCCCAUGUACGGGCAAGGCGGGUGCGACUAGCAUUGGAAAGUCAAACAGCAGAACAGAAAUUUAAGCAACAAACUGCAAAGGAGGCUCAAGUUCGGCAGAUUGAAGUAUGCUGCUUUUAUUGCAAUUCUCAUAUUGAAGGGUCUGCAUUUUCUUCCACCUCAUUCAUCAUAGACGAGGAACUUUCGUUUUUUUUUUAUGUAUAUCAAUGAUACAAUAUAUUACCAGUUGAAUGUCAGCUGUACAAAGCUGCAUCUUCAAGGUCUAGUACUUGUGUUAAUCCAUUUAGAAAUUAUAAUGAUUACAGAACAUCAUGCUUAACCACAGAGGGACCACAUAUGCAGCAAAGGAAAUCAUUCAAGUAUCGUGAUUUCUUAAAUUAGUUUGAUGCACCUACCACAGUAACUGAUGGGAGAUAACAACUUAUCAGAUUUUCUUUAGAUGGUUCCGAUUAUUUCACUUUAUUUGCUGUCUUAAGGAGGCAGUCACACUCUCCACAUGUUGAAUGGAUGCCACUGGAUGUAGGUCCUGGACAGCAUCAAUAGUGGUUGAAACCGUUUGGGAGGGAUGAAAUUUUAGAACUUCUACUUAAUGACUUUCCCUCCUAGCAAUGAAAAUGAAAAACAUAAUAUAUAAAAAUCAUGAAAUGUUUAAGGCGCUUCGUGUUAAUUUUAUUUCCUCAUCUUCACUGGCGGUGCUAUCUUUUUUGAGAACACGGUGCCUCUAAUUAUGGUCUCAGUGUUAAAUUGUUAAAUGAUGAACAAAAUUCUGCCACAUGAUGGUCUCAGUGUUAAAUUGUUAAAUGAUGAACAAAAUCUGCCACAUGAACAUAGGAAUAACUAUUUACAUGGUCAUGUGCUAGUUUUAAUGAGUGUUUUCGUUUCUCACAUUUUAGCAGGAAGGUUGGUGUGACCACAUAGGAUCUGCAGAAGAAAUUCAAGCCAAGUUAGUGAAGAGGCAGGAAGCUGCAGCUAAGCGUGAAAGAGCCAUGGCUUAUUCCUUAGCUCAUCAGGUAAGCUAUAUUUGAUAUUACCAUGGAUAUGUCUGUGAACUAUGCUUUUCCUCCAUCUUCUAGGGUGAUGUCAGAUUUUAAACUCAGUUUGACUAGAGCAUAUCAGAUUUUAAACUCCGUCUUAGGCUUGCCAAUUUAAGUGUGUGGACUCAACAGAAAGGUAAAUUUGAGAUGGAAUAAUUAACCUAAGAGCCCAAUUAAAUUCAAUACCUUACAGUUCAGCCUUCAACUAAAAUGGAUGUGUUCUUCGUAGUUUAUAGUAGUUUCAACUUUCAAUGCAAAAAUUUGCAGUAUCGAUUAGUCUCCACAUGAAUGUGGUACAGGAUGCAUCUUCUCUGGUUAGCUUAAUAUUUGCAUCAUCAAACAAUGAAGUGCACCAGGAUUGUGUAUGCCUUAAAAUGUAUGCUCGCAUCACUAAGUUGCACACUAUAUGUGAAAUGAACAAAAUUAACUUUGUCUUACAAGGUGCAUGAAUACAUAAUUACCCAUUUUCUUACUGACAAUUUACUGUAAACUAAGCAGAUUCUAUAAUAUGUGCUUAGGGAAGUGGACUUUAUGCACGAUUGCCAUCUUUUCUCGACUAUGCCGUGUCAUUUUUUGCAUGGUUAGAGCCUGAGACCAUUACUGCAAUCAAAAUACAAUCACAAUCUAGCACUGAGUUUCAUGAGCCUAAAACUCUCUUAUAGUACUAUGCAGUGGCAAUUACAAUCUCCUUGAUUUUACUUCAUAGUGGCCUUUUUUUUUUCUUCAUGCAGUGGCAAGCAGGAUCAAAACAACUGGCAGCACCUACAGGGUUUGAACCUGACAAAAGCAGCUGGGGAUGGACCUGGUUGGAGAGAUGGAUGGCAGUUCGUCCAUGGGAGAACCGAUUUCUCGACAUUAAUAUCGGUGAUGGAAUGACAAUUCAAGAAAGUGGCUCGGCACAGAGUGCGGAUGACACUAGAGCCCAGUCGAAGUCUGCCAGCAAGAAACCGGGUUCAACAAAUCUUUGCAAUCAGAAAAGAGGGUCUUCUCAGACUAAUGUUGUUGGCUCUUCAUCUAGUAAAUCAUUGAAUAAGAUGCCCUCUGAUCAGGCAGUCCCUUCCAAGCCAGAGUCAAAGCUUGUCAAUGAUGGAAUUCAAUUGGCCCAAGCCAGGCUUGGUCGUAGUUCCAGAUCGCAAAGUAAUCCUAAAGAGAGAUCAGUGCCAUCUGAUAAACAGGCAAAGAAGCGAUUCUCUCUGCCUAAUUCUGGUAAACUCCCUUUCUCCCUCUGUCUCUAUCACAGAUCCGCACACAGACAUGUUCAUGCGAAUAGAGGGAUGUAUGAAUUGCACUGAACAACCGCCGCGGUUGUUAAAAAAAUUCCGCUUAUAAACGUCAGGCUUGCAGCGCACAUCCUCUACUUUUAACGCUGUGUUCGCAUGUCUAAUAUGCCCGGUAGCCGGUCUUGCUUAUAAACUCGUAUUCCUGUUAUCACAGAACAUCAUCGGGAAUUAAGCUCAUCUGAAGUUUAACUUGAUUUUAUCAGGAUCGACCGUCGGGGCACCAACUGCUAAAAACCCCAGCAGAACUGCUGCAUCGAGAAAAUUGGAUCCGCCGGCAAGACGUGUUUCCGAGGCGAACUGAUUAGUAACCCUCUCGAAUUAUGAAGAACAAAAGGUCCAACCUCAUUCCACUUUGAGGCUUUGCACGUAACGCCCGAAUUGCAACAGACGCAAGCAAUUGCUUUCAAGCACGCACACCUUCCUCUCCCGUGACUUGUCAAGGCUUUUUUUUUUCCCAAAAGUGGCAGAGCAGAAGAGAUUGCUUCGGCUCCUCGGCGUCCGCAGCUCUAGCUCUAGUACCGUCAUGAAUGCAUCUCGUCUUUUUCCUUUUCCAGUUUCGGUUUUUAGUCGCCCGUGUACUCGUUGAGAUGUGGUCGCUGUUUUCGGAUCUAUUUGGUUGCUGAAGGGAUCGAAAUUUCCUAGAGUCGUGACUUUUGGGUCCGUCCAAUUCCUAACGCUCCCCCUCCUCUCUAUCCUGGAAAAAAGAGAGAAAAAAACGACUCGAUGCGCGUUCCUCCGUCGCGGUCGAUGAUGGGGGUCGGGCUUCGAUCGUGCGCUCGUCCAUGAUCACGACGACCUUAUCUUCGGAUUCCUUUCGCGGGCUACGUGCUACCUAUCAAGAUCCCCCCCGCUCUGACGCAGCGGCCAAGCGGUGAGGGGCAGCGCAACAGGACAGCCACUUGACCCCCUUUUCACGCACGCGGGGUGUCCUCCCAGAUCUGUCCGAUCUGUCCGAUCUGUCAGUAAGCGGAGACAAUUUCUUCUCACCCCCUACCCCGACCAAAAUUAAUGCGGUCAAAUUUCACAGUUACGUAAUCACGAAUUUAUCCCGAAAAUCUAUCCUCGUGAUCAUGAGGAGAUUAGAAAAUCCAGCCUUUGCGAUUCCUUUUUUUAAGCAAAUUGCAUUACGAUCUUUUUUACAGAGAGAGUGGAGGAGGAGGAGGGGGAGAAUUCUGAGCAGUAUAAAGCAAAGAAAUUAGAAAGAAGAGUCCAAGAAAAGAAAGAAAAAGAACGGAAUCGCCCCUCCCGUCACGCCGUCAGAGAGAGAGAGAGAGAGAGAGAGAGAGAAGAAGAAGGGGCCUCCAUACCCACCCCUCAACCCCUCAACCUCCAUCGCCAUCACUCCCCUCCUCCCUGCCUUCCCUCCAUCUUCCUCCAUCUCCAUCAUCUCCAUCUUCGCCACCAAAACCUCUCUCUCUUUCUAUCUCUAUACCCUAUGCCCUCCCACCUCCAAAUCCAAACCCAAACCCAAACCCAAACCCUAACCCCCACCGAUCUUGGAUCUCCUUCUGCAAUUUCUCUCCAUCGUCGCCGUCGCCGUCGCCGUCGCCGUCGUCGUCAUCAUCAUCUGCAUCUUGUUCGGCAUUGAUCGGGAUCUUCUAAAUGUACAGAUNNNN